rnacentral:rRNA from 1 species
GACAGCAGUAGCCGCGGGAAUACCGAGGGUGCGAGCGUUAAUCGGAUUUACUGGGCGUAAAGCGUGCGUAGGCGGCUUUUUAAGUCGGAUGUGAAAUCCCUGAGCUUAACUUAGGAAUUGCAUUCGAUACUGGGAAGCUAGAGUAUGGGAGAGGAUGGUAGAAUUCCAGGUGUAGCGGUGAAAUGCGUAGAGAUCUGGAGGAAUACCGAUGGCGAAGGCAGCCAUCUGGCCUAAUACUGACGCUGAGGUACGAAAGCAUGGGGAGCAAACAGGAUUAGAUACCCGCGUAGUCCCUGUCUCUUAUAC